rnacentral:sRNA from 1 species
CUUUACUGGAGUUCGACUAAGAACGCCAUGUUGUGUGGCAACGUCGAAUGGUCCUGCGUCAUGCAGG